GCCGGUGUGGCCUAAUGGAUAAGGCGUCGCCCUCCUAAGGCGAAGAUUGUGGGUUCGAGUCCCAUCAGCGGCU
rnacentral:tRNA from 1 species